GGGGACGUUACGGAUUCGACAGGGGUAGUUCGAGCUUAAGUUGCGAGUCGAGGGGAUCGGCCUCGUUAAAACGUCAACGCCUAUAACUGGCAACCAAAAAUUAGCUUUAGCUGCUUAAUUAAAGUAGCUGCUCCUCCCUCCGUUGUCUGUGCGGUAGGGUAAGGGGCCCACUCUUAGCAGACUACGCCGGCGUCCACCGUCUGAGGACAAAGGAAGAGAACAACCAGACUAGCCGCCCGGGCGCCUGUCGAUAGGCAGAUGGGUCGGCGAAACGCGAAUAUGUCGACUACACUCGUAGAAGCUUAAGUGCCGAUAUUUCUGGACGCGGGUUCGACUCCCGCCGUCUCCACCA
rnacentral:tmRNA from 1 species